rnacentral:lncRNA from 1 species
AACGGCUGGCGGAGGGGUUGGAGCAGUGGGCGGAAAAGAAGCAAUGGGGGACAUGAAGAGACUUCGCUUGCCAAUGGGAUCUGUCUUCUAGUCCGGUUUGCCACAACCAAGAAAGUUUAAGCUCAACAAAGUGAAGACCAGACAGUUGAAUGGGAAAAUGAAAAGGAGUGUGAACUAUCCUACAGGAGACAAGAAAAAAUGAGGCAGAGGAAGUGCCUUCGAACAACGAGCAAGGAGCAAGGAAAGAAAGAAAAAAAUGAGAAUACCAGCUCGACAGUCCAGAAAUGCCUGGUAUUUGUGAGGUUUAAUUCCCAGUACUGGAGAAGUUUAAAUUAAAAUAUGUAUGUACAAGGAA